AUGUGCACAGCUGGCGCCCCCCGCCCGCGGCGCACAGCUGGGACGUGGGCCGCGCCUGGGCGGCGGGCGGGCGCAGUCCGGAGCCGGCGGUGGACGCGCCGGGCCUUCGCUGUCGGUCCGCGCGCCCGAGCGCCCCGCGCGCCGUGGGUCAUGGCCGUGCGCGCCGCGCGCCCCUGCCUGCUGGCACUCGCUCUGUGCUCGUGCUGGGGGGCGCUGGCCGAGGUCGCCCCCAGGCCGAGCAACGGGUGUCCCAGCCGCUGCCUGUGCUUCCGCACCACGGUGCGCUGCAUGCAUCUGCUGCUGGAGGCCGUGCCCGCCGUGGCGCCGCAGACCUCUAUCCUGGAUCUUCGCUUUAACAGAAUCAGAGAGAUCCAGCCAGGGGCCUUCAAGGGGCUGAGAAACCUGAACACAUUGCUUCUCAACAAUAAUCAGAUCAAGAGCAUCCCUGGCGGGUCGUUCGAAGACUUGGAGAGUCUGAAAUACCUCUAUCUGUACAAGAAUGAGAUCCAGGCGAUUGACCGGCAGGCCUUCAAGGGGCUUGCCUCUCUUGAGCAACUAUACCUGCACUUCAAUCAGAUAGAAACUUUGGACCCGGAGUCAUUUCAGCAUCUGCCGAAGCUGGAGAGGCUGUUUUUACAUAACAACCGAAUUACACAUUUGGUUCCGGGGACGUUCAAUCACUUGGAGUCUAUGAAAAGAUUGCGCCUGGACUCCAACGCACUUCACUGUGACUGUGAGAUCCUGUGGCUGGCAGACCUGCUGAAGGGCUACGCGCGGUCAGGAAACGCGCAGGCCGCGGCCACCUGUGAGUAUCCCCGGCGCAUCCAGGGCCGGUCGGUGGCCACCAUCACCCCGGAGGAGCUGGACUGUGAAAGGCCGCGGAUCACGUCAGAGCCGCAGGAUGCCGACGUCACCCUGGGCAACACCGUCUUCUUCACCUGCAGGGCUGAGGGCAACCCCAAGCCCGAGAUCAUCUGGCUGCGGAACAACAACGAGCUGAGCAUGAAGACGGAUUCUCGCUUGAACUUGCUGGAUGACGGGACCCUCAUGAUCCAAAACACGCGGGAGACAGACCAGGGCAUCUAUCAGUGCAUGGCGAAGAAUGUGGCUGGGGAGGUGAAGACACAGGAGGUGACCCUCAGGUACUUCCGGUCUCCAGCUCGCCCGGCGUUUGUAAUCCAGCCCCAGAACACAGAAGUGCUGGUCGGGGAGGGUGUGACCUUGGAGUGCAGCGCCACGGGCCACCCCCCGCCGCAGAUCACCUGGACCAGGGGCGACCGCAGCCCCGUGCCCACAGACCCUCGGGUGAGCAUCACCCCGUCCGGCGGCCUCUAUAUCCAGAACGUGGAGCAGGAGGACAGCGGGGAGUACACCUGCUUUGCCUCCAACACCGUGGACAGCAUCCACGCCACGGCCUUCAUCAUCGUCCAAGCGCUUCCUCAGUUCACCGUGACGCCCCAGGACAGGGCUGUCAUCGAGGGCCAGACGGUUGAGUUCCACUGCGAGGCAAAGGGCUACCCGCAGCCUGUCAUCGCCUGGACCAAAGGAGGGAGCCAGCUGUCAGUGGACAGGCGCCACCUGGUCCUGUCGUCGGGGACGCUGAGGAUCUUGGCCGUCGCCCUGCAUGACCAGGGCCAGUACGAGUGCCAGGCUGUGAACAUCAUCGGCUCCCAAAGGGUCGCCGCACACCUGACCAUCCAGCCCCGAGUCACCCCGGUGUUCACCAGCGUCCCCAGGGACAUGACGGUGGAGGUGGGCAGCAACGUGCAGCUGCCCUGCCGCCCCCAGGGCGAGCCGGAGCCCGCUGUCACCUGGAACAAGGAUGGGGUUCAGGUGACAGAAAGCGGGAAAUUUCACAUCAGCCCCGAGGGGUUCCUGACCAUCCGCGACGUUGGGACCGCAGAUGCUGGCCGCUACGAGUGUGUGGCCCGGAACACGAUCGGGCAGGCGUCGGUCAGCAUGGUGCUCAGCGUGAACGUUCCUGAUGUCAGCCGGAACGGGGACCCGUUUGUGGCCAUCAACUCCACGCGGACGCACCUGUUUGACAGCCGCCCUCGCUCCCCGGGCCGGGGAGAUUUUCGAGCGGACGCUGCAGCUGAUCCAGGAGCACGUGCGGCACGGCCUGAUGGUGGACCUCAACGGAACCAGUUACCACUACAACGACCUCGUGUCCCCGCAGUACCUGAGCCUGAUCGCCAACCUGUCGGGCUGCACGGCCCACCGGCGCGUCAACAACUGCUCGGACAUGUGUUUCCACCAGAAGUACCGCACGCACGACGGCACGUGCAACAACCUGCAGCACCCCAUGUGGGGCGCCUCGCUCACCGCCUUCGAGCGCCUGCUCAAGGCCGUGUACGAGAACGGCUUCAACACGCCGCGCGGCAUCGACCCGGGCCGGCGCUACCACGGGCACCCGCUGCCCAUGCCCCGCCUGGUGUCCACGGCCCUCAUCGGGUCGGAGGCCGUCACCCCGGACGAGCAGUUCACGCACAUGCUCAUGCAGUGGGGCCAGUUCCUGGACCACGACCUGGACUCCACGGUGGUGGCCCUGAGCCAGGCCCGCUUCUCCGACGGGCAGCACUGCAGCUCGGCCUGCAGCAACGACCCGCCCUGCUUCUCGGUGGCCCUGCCGCCCGACGACCCGCGGGCGCGCAGCGGGGCGCGCUGCAUGUUCUUCGUGCGCUCCAGCCCCGUGUGCGGCAGCGGCAUGACGUCACUGCUCAUGAACUCCGUGUACCCCCGCGAGCAGAUCAACCAGCUCACGUCCUACAUCGACGCCUCCAACGUGUACGGCAGCUCCGAGCACGAGGCCCGCGCGGUCCGCGACCUGGCCAGCCAGCGCGGGCUGCUGCGCCAGGGCAUCGUGCAGCGCUCCGGCAAGCCGCUGCUGCCCUUCGCCGCCGGGCCGCCCACCGAGUGCAUGCGGGACGAGAACGAGAGCCCCAUCCCCUGCUUCCUGGCCGGCGACCACCGCGCCAACGAGCAGCUGGGCCUCACCAGCAUGCACACGCUCUGGUUCCGCGAGCACAACCGCGUGGCCGCCGAGCUGCUGGCGCUGAACCCGCACUGGGACGGCGACACGGUCUACCACGAGGCCCGCAAGCUGGUGGGCGCCCAGGUGCAGCACAUCACCUUCCAGCACUGGCUGCCCAAGGUGCUGGGCGAGGCCGGCAUGAAGAUGCUGGGCGAGUACCGCGGCUACGACCCGGGCGUCAACGCCGGCAUCGUCAACGCCUUCGCCACGGCUGCCUUCCGCUUCGGCCACACGCUCGUCAACCCCGUGCUGCAGCGGCUGGACGAGGACUUCCGGCCGCUGGCGCUGGGCCACGUGCCGCUGCACAAGGCCUUUUUCUCCCCGUUCCGCAUCGUCAACGAGGGCGGCAUCGACCCGCUGCUCCGCGGCCUGUUCGGCGUGCCCGGCAAAAUGCGCGUGCCAUCGCAGCUGCUCAACACGCGCUGGACCUGGCCGCCAUCAACAUCCAGCGCGGCCGCGACCACGGCAUCCCGCCCUACCACGAGUACCGCGUCUACUGCAACCUGUCGGCCGCCCACACCUUCGAGGACCUGAGGAACGAGAUCAAGAGCCCCGAGAUCCGGGAGAAGCUGCAGCGGCUGUACGGCUCCCCACUCAACAUCGACCUGUUCCCGGCCCUCAUGGUGGAGGACCUGGUGCCCGGCAGCCGCCUGGGACCCACCUUGAUGUGUCUGCUCAGCACGCAGUUCAGGCGCCUUCGGGACGGGGACAGGCUGUGGUACGAGAACCCGGGGGUCUUCACUCCUGCCCAGCUCACCCAGAUCAAGCAGAGCUCCCUGGCCCGCAUCGUGUGCGACAACGCCGACAACAUCACGCGUGUGCAGAGAGACGUGUUCCGCGUGGCCGAGUUCCCGCACGGCUACAGCAGCUGCGACGAGAUCCCCCGCGUGGACCUCCGAGUGUGGCAGGACUGCUGUGAAGACUGCAGAACCCGGGGCCAGUUCAACGCCUUCUCCUACCACUUCCGAGGCAGGCGGUCUCUUGAGUUCAGCUACCAGGAGGAUGAGCCAGCCAGGGAGACAGGGCCCGGGAAGGCGCCAAGAGCCAGGAAGCUCCGGGCACCUCCCAGUAACGCCACAGACCCCUCCUUGGAGCAGCCGCAAGGGGCAGGGACAAGCGACUUCCGGGAGUUUGUCCUGGAGAUGCAGAAGACCAUCACGGACCUCAGGAAGCAGAUAAAGAAACUGGAGUCUCGGCUCAGCACAGACUGCGUGGACGCAGACGGCAGCUCGCACGCAGACGGGGCUGAGUGGACGCGGGAUCCGUGCACCACUUGUGAAUGCCGCGAUGGGCAGGUCACCUGCUUCGUGGAGACUUGUCAGCCGGCUGACUGCCCAGCGCCCGCCAGGGUCGGCGGGGCCUGCUGUCCCAUGUGCCCAGGAGACUCCACGGGGACGCAGCCCUGAGCGUCUGCGAGCCUGGAACUUGUCCCGGCCCCCGGGAGCGAGGCCGCACAGGCGGCGAGGCUGGGGUACGGGGACCACGGCUCGGGGAACCCCGGCCUGAGCGCUCGCCAGCAGACCACGGGGCAGACAUGUGUCCUGACUCCAUGUUGAGCUUUCUCAGGUUCCUAUUUAAUUUUUUUAAAUGAAAAAUUGGUGCUACUAUUAAAUUGCACAGUUCAAUCAUUUAGGCUCCUAAUUGAUUUCACCUAGUAUCACCGUUUCUUCUCAACUGAAAGUUAGUCCCGCUGGUCCCGGCGCCAGGAGCGUGCAGAGCGGAGCUGGCGGAGGAGGGACGCAGGAUUUGAAAGAGAAUCCGUCCCUGGCAAACAGCAGUCUGCACGGACGUGUGGCGGCAGCGCGGGCGGCCAGCACAAGCCCCCCGCGCCCCUGCCCCCAGCCCCUGCAGCUCCGCGGCCCCGCUGGAGAAGCUGCUGCACUCCCCUGUGACCGGCACACACGCCGCCGGGUGUGGGCCAGGCAGGGCGGCACCUGUCCCCACCAGCAUCACCCACGGCCUCCCGGCUUCGCCCGCCAGCGCCCACGGAUGAGCCACCACGCUCUCCAUCCCUGUUCCAAGGACGGGAGGAACGCGAGUGUCGGGGACUUUCUGACUUCAGGUUAUGAGAGUGCGUUCAAGAAAAGCAGCCGGUCCCUAUACCUCAUUCGUAUGCCCGCCGCGUGUGAUGUUGGAUAAAAUCUCACCCAUGUUUUAGCUUAGACACGGCAGAAACAGCACGUCCGCGCCGCUCAAGUUCUCGUGGAUUCAGUGAGAAACAACUUUCAUACCUCACAGCCCCCGUCUUCUUACUCGACCAGAACCUCCUGUUUGGUUCCAAAUGCAAAGUGGUCUGUGUUCUGAGAAACAGGUCCCUGGGUCUCCCGCUCGGUUCUCAGACCUGAGUGUCCAGCGCCGGCCACACGGUGCCCGCCCACGCUUCCUACUGGAG
rnacentral:lncRNA from 1 species